GCGCAAUGGGCGAAAGCUUGACGCAGCAACGCCGCGUGGGGGAUGACGGCCUUCGGGUUGUAAACCUCUUUCGACAUCGACGAAGGAGCUUGCUCUGACGGUAGGUGUAGAAGAAGCACCGGCUAACUACGUGCCAGCAGCCGCGGUAAUACGUAGGGUGCGAGCGUUGUCCGGAUUUAUUGGGCGUAAAGAGCUCGUAGGCGGUUUGUCGCGUCGGCCGUGAAAACCUGCCGCUUAACGGUGGGCGUGCGGUCGAUACGGGCAGACUUGAGUUCGGUAGGGGAGACUGGAAUUCCUGGUGUAGCGGUGAAAUGCGCAGAUAUCAGGAGGAACACCGGUGGCGAAGGCGGGUCUCUGGGCCGAUACUGACGCUGAGGAGCGAAAGCGUGGGGAGCGAACAGGAUUAGAUACCCUGGUAGUCCACGCCGUAAACGUUGGGCGCUAGGUGUGGGGACUGUUUCCACGGUUUCCGUGCCGUAGCUAACGCAUUAAGCGCCCCGCCUGGGGAGUACGGCCGCAAGGCU
rnacentral:rRNA from 1 species